AGUGAACGCUGGCGGUAGGCCUAACACAUGCAAGUCGAACGGCAGCACAGGAGAGCUUGCUCUCUGGGUGGCGGGUGGCGGACGGGUGAGGAAUACAUCGGAAUCUACUCUGUCGUGGGGGAUAACGUAGGGAAACUUACGCUAAUACCGCAUGCGACCUACGGGUGAAAGCAGGGGACCUUCGGGCCUUGCGCGAUUGAAUGAGCCGAUGUCGGAUUAGCUAGUUGGCGGGGUCAAGGCCCACCAAGGCGACGAUCCGUAGCUGGUCUGAGAGGAGGAUCAGCCACACUGGAACGGAGACACGGUCCAGACUCCUACGGGAGGCAGCAGUGGGGAAUAUUGGACAAUGGGCGCAAGCCUGAUCCAGCCAUACCGCGUGGGUGAAGAAGGCCUUCGGGUUGUAAAGCCCUUUUGUUGGGAAAGAAAUCCAGCUGGCUAAUACCCGGUUGGGAUGACGGUACCCAAAGAAUAAGCACCGGCUAACUUCGUGCCAGCCGCCGCGGUAA
rnacentral:rRNA from 1 species